AUGAUGAGCCCUUAUUUGACCAGGUAGAGGUAGAUUAACGGACAACACAGCUCUCAUGAUGAGCCCUUAUUUGACCAGGUAGAGGUAGAUUGAUGGACAACACAGCUCUCAUGAUGAGCCCUUAUUUGACCAGGUAGAGGUAGAUUGACAG